rnacentral:lncRNA from 1 species
CAGCAUCGUUGUCAGAAGCUCGUUGCCACUUAGAAUCCUCUGCAAGAUGUGGGGGAAGAGAAUACUGAGAUGGAUUUAAUGAAAUUACAUUUUCCAAGAAGCCUCUUGAACAGAAUGAAGUUCUUCAUUUGCCACUAAACUUUCCUCCUUGACUGAGCUCACUGAUGGUUUCUUUAAUAUGCAGAGAAAGGAUCUCCUUCUGCCAUGAAC